rnacentral:tRNA from 1 species
AAAAAAGUUAAAUCAAUAACAUUAGUAUGUCAAACUAAUUUUAUUAAAUUGUUAAUAUUUCUUA